AAGGGGAAGAGAAAGAGUGGGAGGAAUGAGAGGCAAGAAGCAGCGGGUAGCACUUUUCUCUGAAUCAAAGAGACGUGAAACUAGGAACUUCCAGUUUCCCAAGACCCAACAUUGAAUUCAAUCAGAGGUAAAGAUUCUGGACUAUUGGAUUAAAUGAGGAGGCAGGAGCUACUAUCUCUUGUAGUGUGAAACCAGGGCCAGGGAUGAAGAUACGGACACAUCUCACCUUGCCAGGGAU